rnacentral:lncRNA from 1 species
UUUAAGAGUUCUGAAAGUGGUGUUUAACAACAACUAUCUAUCAAUCAAGUGCCUAUAACUGGUCAUAUGAUAAAUUGUAUGUAUCUAUUUUUUGGACGUAAGAGUCUUGAUUGUAAUUUUUGCCAUGUUUCAAUGUUUUAUAUAUACUUAUUGCCAUUCCAUGAUAAAACUUGUAGUUAAGGAAAAUAUUUUAACAAAGCUAUGUUGUAUUACAUUUCUUAGAGUCAGAUCCAACAAUUCAUUCUGAAAAAAUUGAGAAAUUAUUUUUUUCAGGGGUGUCUGAUUUAUAGUACUUUUUUGUACAUUAUUGUGUAAUGUAGAAAUUAUAGAAAUAAAUGCAAAUUUCUUUGAAACUUGUUAAUGUCCACAUUAAAAUUAUACUCAAUGUGUAGUGUUUCUUUCACCUUAAAAAUAUUAAAAGCUUAAACAUUUUUAUAAAAUCAGAAAAACUGUUAUUUAUAACUUUAGAUAAAGAGUACAGUGUUCCCCCCAGAAAUUUCAAAUUGCACCAUGAAAAUUAACAAAGUACUAGUUUUCCAAAUAAUCUAGCACCAUAUGCAUGGUCCCUAUACAUUCUAUUCAAAAAUCAUACAAGAUAGCACCAUGGUGGAAAAUAUAGUACCAGGGUACCAGAGUGAUGUAAGGCACUGGGAGAUCACUGUUUAAAGAGUUUAAGUUUAUUAAUUCAUGUUUACUUUAAAUUCAUCAGAAAUUACAUGCUAUUAGGAUUUGUUUCAUCGAAUACAUUAUGACUUCAUUGUAAAUGUACGAGGCAAUCCAAAUUCAUUAAAGGGGGCUGAGGAGUCCUGUUCCAGUUAUGCUUCAGUGAUUCCCUAAAAAUCAACCAAGUGUUUCCCAAAGAGAAGGGAGGGUUAGGGUCCACCCUCCCCCUUAAUCUGCUUCUGCUUAUCAAUCUUCCCCAGGCCACACUUAAAAAUAUUUUGGUUUGCCCAAACCCUACCCAAAGGUUAAGACAGUGGGUAGGUAGGUAGGCAUUUUCUUUUUUUUUCAGAAAAAAGAAAUUGAAGUAUCAGAUGUUUAUUAGUCUUCAUGCCUAUUUGAUUAAAAAAAAACUUCUUCAAAUCAGGACAAUAAAAGAAUUUGAGUAGGCAGCUUUUUUCUGGGUAGGUAGCGUUUGGGCAAACAAACCUAUUAUUUAUUAUGGCCCCAGCUGAAAUUUUUAUCUGAGCAUUCAAUUGCUUGUACAUACAACCAGUUUUAAUAAUCUGAAGGGGCUCAGAAAAUGGGAUAUUUUUUUCAGAAUGUGGAUACUUAAAACCUUUAGUCCAGAGAGACUUGUCAAUUUAAUAAGAAAGUCUUCACAUAGAUCAAAACAUACAUUAGCCAUUAAGUCAGUAUCAUGAGAUUACAUAAAAACUUUGAUACAAUGGAUGACAAAAGAUAUUAUAGAGUUACUUCCCUUGGCAUGUUACAUUGGAGUUACUUCCCUUGGCAUGUUACAUUGGAGUUGCUUCCCUUGGCAUGUUACAUUGGAGUUACUUCCCUUGGCAUGUUACAUUGGAGUUACUUCCCUUGGCAUGUUACAUUGUUUGUAUGCCUUACUUGAAUUGAUAAUUGUAUUUAUUUAGUUAAGUUAUAAACAAACUACUUUAUUGUUAUUGGAAUAAAUUUAACUAUUGG